UAUGGCAGUGCACAGACAGGGAUGACACAGGCCCUUUUGAGGACUUUUCUGGUUGAAAAUGCCCAAGAGCAUGGCUGCGUCUGGGACAUGCCAUGGCCAAACACCAAGCAGGCAUCGUCUUGGUCGCAGACGCCAACCGGGGCCACUCUGCUCUGCUCUGGGUGGGUCCGAGUGAGGCUUCUCUCCAUGCGACCUUGGAACCUGACAUUUGUCUGAGCCCAUUGUCCAGCAGUUGCUGGACUUCAGGAGAGACAGGAAGACCUGUAGGUCUCUGUAAUGUCCCGGGAGCUCUGGACCCCACACCUGACAGGCACACGGCUGGGUGCUGCAUCUCCAUGUCUUCACCCAGGUCCUCAACAAAGCCACAGAGGAAGCAAGAGCUUUCUGUGGUCUGCAGUGUGGUCUCCACCUGCACUGGACCUGCUGCUGCUCCACUCCAAGAUUUCCAGGGUUCAGAGCGUCAAUUUCAGAUUCACUAACUUUCAUUUUCCUGUGCUGGAGAAGGGUUUGAGCGCCGAGCCUUAGCACUGAGCUCCAUCCCCAGCCCACCUUUUAUUUCAACACAGGAUCCUCACUAAGGUGCCAAAUUGCCCAGGGUUGGUUUCAACUUGCAGUCCUCCUGCCUCAGCCUGUCAGAAAGAUUGCAUUUCCUGUUGGAGCACCUGACUUAAUUCCUGGAGGCUGCUGUAACAACUGUCACAGUGUGAAACCGGAUGUGAGUCCGCUCACCCUUGUGCAAGCCAGGAACAUGAAGCCACACAAACAGCAAGACCACAGUCAUCCGCGGUGUCUGCUGUCUGUGGGGCUCCUGUCUCCAUGGGGCCCUGGGCUGGUGGCCCUCCUGUGCCCCGCACUGUUCUUCUGCCUUCACACUGCCUUAUCCUGAAAGCCUGGCUGUCAUGUGUCUCUUACAAGGACUUUAUCAUGGACUUACUGCUGGCCGCCUCACUGUAGCAACUUUCCAAAGUCAGAUGUGUAAUUUCAUGAGACACAAUAGCCAGGAUGCAAACUGGAACCCAGGGAGAUCAUUUCACCCGAGUCAACGGAUCCAUUGGAUGGGAAUUCUGAGCUGGAAUUUUCCCCAGGAAAGAAGCACAAAUUGCUUGAGCAUGGAAAUUAUAGUUGUCCUUUACCUCAAGCUUGGAGCCUUUCUUCCCUCUUUCAGCCAGAUUUGUUUGAUCCUUUUGCCUUCCCUCCAAGCAGCUGUGGUGGGAAUGUUAUUUCUUGGGUGCUCACAGAGUGAUAGGAGCACAGGUUGGUCCCUGGGCCACUUGCUCCUCUCUGGGGAGUAGGUGUCCAUGGACUGCCGCGUCUCCAGCAUUUCUGCCCCAGCUCUGGCAAGGCCUGGGGAUCUGGCUGGGAUCCACCACAGGCCUUAUUGGAAUGUAACCAGUGCACAAGGAGCUCAGUUUUAAAUCCUUUAAAACAAGAAUGCCUCAGAAUCCAGAUUUCAACCUCACUUUUUCUAACUGGAGAAAUAGGCUUGAGAAUCUGCUAUAUUCUGUGCUGUUUUUUACAAAAUUAAAUAUUCUUAUAUGGAAUUAAAAUGUAAACAAACCCAACUAUGUACUGUUAAUAAGAAAUAAGCCUUAAGCAAAAUAGUAGAGGAUCUUAGAAUGAUAGCUGAUCUACACAAGGUGAAUAUAAUGUUCUAAAAAGUGCAUGAAUGACUACUUGUAGCAGAAAAAUGGAACUGAAUAUGUUAAAUUAGAAUGAUUUAUGUUUUAUUCAUAAUGUAUACAAUAACGAAGAUGAAAAUGGCAAGAUUAACAUUAUUGGGAUGAAUAUCACAGGAAAAUAUACCAACUAAAGUCUUAAAGAAAUAGAUGAAAAAUAACCCAAAUCACUAUCUUCACAUAAAGUGUUAAUAUGAACACUUCACUUAGCUGGUAAUAAAACAGGAAGCAAAGGGAAAGAGAAC